UCGAAUUGGAGCUGCAGCUGCCAGCCGACGGCACAGCCGCAGCAACAUGGGAUCGAGCUGCCUCUGUGACCUACGCCACAGCUCACAGCAAUGCCUGAUCCUUAACCCACUGAGCGAGGCCAGGGAUCGAACCUGUAUCGUCAUGGAUGCUAGUCAAGUUCAUAACCCGAUGAAGGGAACUCCCUUAACUUCCUCAUCUUUAAAGAAAGGUCACGGGAGGACCGAGGUGUGCUGCGGAUCAUGUGGGCCAAGAGAGGUGAAAAGGCUGCACUGCACAUCGUCUAGUUGAAUAAAUGUUUUCCCAUCCAUGCCCUGCCAUCUGGAGUCCAGGCUCCACAGUCGGAUUUCAGCUCUGGGUGAUGGCAGGAAAGACAGUCAGAGCUGCAGUAAAUGAUUGUGAGAAUCUCACCCCGAUUGCCUCCUCUCCAGGAUCUUUCUGGAGCACCUGCUGUCCGACUCUAGCUUCUUCGGGUUCCAGGGAGGGACCAGCUGGAGGUGGGGCCAUGGACAUCCUGUUAUCAGGGGCAAGACUCUAGUGGGUGCUAAAAACAAAUGCCCAGGCACCAGGCAGCACUUAAGGGUGAUGUAUACACAAGAUACACAGGUGACAACUUCAGCAUCCUCUGCUAAGCCUCAUCCCUGCUCCAUCCAUUCAUCAUCAUCAAUAGAGUCUUUUGACACCCAUUUAUUGAAGCCUGCUGUGUACCAGGCUUAUGCGGGCUGGAGAACACAAGAGGUAUAAGUCCCCCACUCUUGUUCUAGGAGCCACAAAGAACAAGUCUGUUUUCCCUUCUUGUCAGACCUCUCCCUAAUAACCCCCACGUUAUCUUGUUUCCCAUCCUGCUUGUUCUCCUGGCUGCUCUCUGUCUGCGACCUUUAUCCAUAAGUUAUCAUCAGACUCAUCCACUUUUGCCCUGAUAUGUAAUCCCCCCAAACUGGUGACAUUCCAUGAAAUGGGAGAAGGGGGUCUCAGAAUCGCAGAGGAUAGAGUUUCAGUUUCCAGAUGCUUGGUGUCUCCAUUAGGAGAACCAAUUACAAAAAAUUGAAUCAGCCUUAUCAUGUGGUCAGAUCUCUUAAACCAUCCCUAUGCAAGGCACUGUUAUACUUGUACCAUGAAAAAUAGUUCACAAAGUCAAAAUACCAUCCCCAGAAAUUAGCCAUGGUGGUGAUGAGGUUUAAUUCAAGUCAGAACAAGUCAUGGGCGGGUCUUUGUAGAGGGAAGAAAGCCAAUAGCCUCAGUGUUAGAUGGGAAGAGAGAAUUGUCAAAGUGAACUCCGAGUUAGUCUCUGGCUCUUUCUUCUUUUCUCACUGAUAUAAACUGCACAUCUGUAGCUUUGUACACCGACAGGCGAGUUAGUAUCUCCAACCCAGGCACAUCUCUAGGGGUCCAUAUUUGCAUAUCCAAUGGCUUCUUAACACUUUCUCUUAGGUGUGUCAAAAUAUUCAAUGGAAGCCAUAGUCUUCAUGAAUGCCUUCAAAGUUUGGUUCUUGUUCAGAUUCCCCUUUUAUUAGCGAAGUCACCAUUAUCCAUCACGUGCACAGAGCACAAGCUUAGUCUCUUUUGCAACAUCUUUUUCUCUCUCCAUCCUUCAUAGUCCAGGUCAUCACCAGCUGGUUGAUUUUAGCCCCUAAGUCACUUGAGUCCAUCUCCUUCUCUUACUCCUUCCAAUAUUUUAGUACAAGCCACCAUCUUCUUUUCUCAAAAACUCUCAAUGGUCUCCCAGUUGGUCUUGUUGCAUCCUGUCUCUUCCUCCAUGUGAGCCUGAGGGAUGUUCCCCAAAUGAACACCCGAUCCAAUCAUCCUGCCAUUGACCUUGUCCUUGUAGGAACCUACUAAAACUCAUUGGUGGCAUCUCCUUAUGUCAUUCAACAAAGAUAAAGCCCCGGAGAUGGACACAAAGUCAACGACCCCUUUUCCCUCUGCCUCACUGAGCCUGGGAACUGAGGUUGGAGGAAGAGUCCUCUCUCAAGGUCAAAUAUGGAGCUAUCACCAGCCCAAGGGGAAGUGGAUGCUGGCCAGGUACAGACAGCAGACAGCCACCAUAAGGGCAAUCUCUCCAGGGAGAAUUUCUCAAGGGAGUACUUUAUAAAGCAGUAGUGGUUUCAAGACCCUAGACAGGUGAGUUGAGAUAUUGAUUUCAGCAAGAGACUUAGAGGCUGAAGGUUUAAGGGAAAGCUACGGCUAAAUAGAAUCGAGGUACAUAUACCAAGUUCAGGGCAACCCUAUUAAGAUCACACUAGAUAGUGAGGCCAAAGCACCCAGCAUGCAUCCUACUGCUGAAGCAUUUCAGUUCGUGCAGCUAAACAGGCCUGGGGAAGGCAGGGGCUGACAGAUGUCUGGCAUGGCUGCACCACACCGAACCUCGGUUGGCUUCUCCCUGCUCAAAAACCAUCUGUUCUAUAAUGUUUUCUAGAAUUGAACUGGGGUUUGAUGUGAUUCUGACCAGUCUGUAAUUCCUGGGAGUCAGGCUUGAAUCUUUGCUCUUGUCUGAAAAUGAGCUUAUUAGCUCUUCUUCUUCUCCUGGCAUCUUUCUUACCUACCUACCCUCAAUGUUUUCUGCUUCCUUUCUUGAGGUUCAACUUCAGGUUGAGGUACAAAUUCAUAUCAGUGUUUAAGCCACUGAUUAAAGCCCUGGAGGAGAAAGGAAGGCCAGACAUAUGUUCUUCCUUUCCCAUCCAUCUUCCCCACUUGUUUUUGAAAACAAAAUCAAAACCCAAACUAACCAACAAACAAAGCCCCAGGCCACUUCUCUGUUUAACAAGCUCCAGUUUUCUAUGGACUGAAGUUCACCUCUUCUCACGUGCUGCAUGAACUUCUCUGUAACAUCUUGUAGGGUUUCUGGGGUUACAGGCACAGAAACCUAUCUCAGAAUGACGAAUGCCUUAAAAAGAACACCUUGGGGAAACCUCAUGGAAUGGAAGUAAUAGCUGAACAAAGGGAUCUAAGAGAGGACUGGACCCAGAAGACCCCCAAUACCCCAGAGAAUAGGACGUAAGAGACAAGUAUUUCAAGACCCCGUGGCCAGUCCAAAACUUUUCCUUCAGCGUCCCCCCCCCCAUUCAUGAUUCAAAUUCCUAGGAACUCCUCUGCAUUGGGUGGUUUCUUGGUGGGGUUACCCAUCAUAGCAUCCUAUAUCCCUUGGUAAAGAGCAGUGACCAUCUUGGUUCAGAAGCGCAGUGCCAUUCUUAAGCCUUGCCACCUGGAUAAAACUCAUUGGUGGCGGUACCUGGAGUUCCUUUGCGGCUCAGUGGUUAACUAACCCAACUAGGAUCCAUGAGGAUGCAGGUUUGAUCCGUGGCCUCACCCAGUGGGUUAAGGAUCUGGUGUUGCUGUGAGCUGUGGUAUAGAUCACAGACACAACUCGGAUCCCUCAUUGCUGUGACUGUGGCAUAGGCCAGCAGCUGUAACCCUAGCCUGGGAACUUCCAUGUGCCAUGGGUGCAACCCUAC
rnacentral:lncRNA from 1 species